rnacentral:tRNA from 1 species
GCCUGAGUGGCUCAGUCGGUUAAGCGUCCGACUUUGGCUCAGGUCAUGAUCUCAUGGUUCGUGAGUUCGAGUCUCGCAUCAGGCU